UUCACCUUAUCACCUCCCUGGGUUUCCUCACCCAGAGAGCCGGCAUCCUGCGGUUUGGGGGUCUCCAGUUGGGGAUCCUGUUUCAUCACUGGACCCACAAUCACUGGAAACGCUGUACUGUCCAAAUCCUCCAGCACUGAGGCUUCCACUGCAAUCGGCACAUGUGGACAUACAGAUGGUGCCAGAGUCAUGGAUGAAGAAAGAGGAGAGCCCAGGAAGCAAAUCAGGUUGAGGAUUAUACCAUGCACAGAGAGACGAGAAUAUUACACGGUUCAGUGACAAAGCAGAGGAUUCAUAAUAGCACGGGAAUCUGUGUAUUUCUGGAGGCACAAAGAGCAUUUUGUCAGUCUGAAUGAACGUGUCACAAGGUGCCCGGGGGCAUAGUGCGAGGUUCUUACAAACUUUCCACGAGACAAGAGAAGCACGGAGACAGUAAAACAGCUGGAUGGGCCAUACGUCCAGAUCUUUAAUGUUGGUUAAAUAAGAGCGUUCACAAUUGGGACAGCGUUGCUUUUUUUUUCACAGCUACAAAUAAAAGCGUCUUUUAUUCUGUGUAAUUUUCUCAUUGUGCGAAAUGGGAACAUUGUUAUUGAAAUAAAAUUAUAACAAUUA